UAUUGGUCAAUGGUCGGGAGACUGAACCAGCCAAGCCGCGUGAGGGAUGAAGGUACAGAGUAUCGUAAACCUCUUUUGUCAGGGAACAAAGGCGGGGACGUGUCCCCGGAUGAGUGUACCUGAAGAAAAAGCAUCGGCUAACUCCGUGCCAGCAGCCGCGGUAAUACGGAGGAUGCGAGCGUUAUCCGGAUUUAUUGGGUUUAAAGGGUGCGUAGGCGGACUGUCAAGUCAGCGGUAAAAUACGGGGGCUCAACCUCCGCCCGCCGUUGAAACUGACGGUCUUGAGUGGGCGAGAUGUAUGCGGAAUGCGUGGUGUAGCGGUGAAAUGCAUAGAUAUCACGCAGAACUCCGAUUGCGAAGGCAGCAUACCGGCGCCCAACUGACGCUGAAGCACGAAAGCGUGGGUAUCGAACAGG
rnacentral:rRNA from 1 species